GAAAUCAGAAAUAUGAAUAAUAACGUCUGAUCUCAGAAGCUAAGUAGGGUUGGGCCUGGUUAGUAUUUGGAUGGGAGAUCACCUAGGAAAACCAAGUGCUGUAGGCA
rnacentral:rRNA from 1 species